UGCUCCAACAUUUUGCAUCACAACCACACAAUUACUACAACCUACCUCUGCCUAGUCUACGUUUACCAUUAAAAAUAAGUCCCAUCUAAUGCACGGUUAUAAGUCAUUUUUUUAAUUAGUAUAGGCACAUCGUUGGAUUGAAAGGUGAAAAAUACAAAGAUGCUGCUUCAUUUCCUUUCAACAUUUACCUCAGCAAAGUUAUAUAACACAAAAGAAAAUUACUAUAGUCAAGCGUCUUUAGAACCUUGACACAAAUUUACACAUAUGCAAGUUUCUUUCAUGACUGCAAAAGGUUGAACAACUUAUGCAACAACUGGUAUUCGUUAAAUGCAUCAUCUUCUGCUAUCCUUAAAAAUAAUUUAAGUCAAAAUGUUCAUCGAAUGAAGGAAGUUUCGAUCAAUCUAUUUAGAGUGGAGAGAAUGUAACGUGAACCUUUGAUGUGGCGGUUAAAUCACAGAGGAGGUCUUUUUAAUGACUGUAGAACAAGGAGAUGAUACAGCAGAUGGUGAGAAUAAAACUCAAGUAAUAAUAAUUGAUAUAUAAAGCAAAUGUGUUUUUCUACCGAUACCGUUGUAACCUUUAACAAC
rnacentral:lncRNA from 1 species